rnacentral:lncRNA from 1 species
UUUUUCCUGCAACUCUCACUGGACGUCUGAAGCUUUGCAAGAGCUUUCUAGACAUGUGAAGCUUUGCAAGAUGUUGAUGUUGAGGAUGAGGCUCGGAUCGUUUGAAUAUUCUCUAAAGUUCGCGACUAUACUUUUAAGAUUCAUGAGGAAAUAGAAGACAACUGGGAUGGGAAGAGAUAAUCAAGAAGGGUGGAUAUAUCAGCUUAUUCGGGAUCAGGUGCGAAUGAUCGUCAUAUGCUAAUGCCUACUUUAUAUAACUAAUACCUGGAAAAUAUUGAAUAUGCGGUUGUACAUUGUAUCAAACACAUAAUACACUUGGAUUUUCUUUUAUUGUAUGUGCCUAAAUAAUGGCUAACUUGGUUGUAUCUGGAGUUGAUAAUACUUUUGUUGAUUUACUACUUUGAGUACGUGAAUAUACGGUUUUGCCGCCGCAAAGCGCGGCAUGGCUAAAUC